rnacentral:rRNA from 1 species
AACGAACGCUGGCGGCAGGCCUAAUACAUGCAAGUCGAGCGAGGACUCCGGUCCUUUCGGCGUACGGCGGUGUCACGCGUGGGAACGUUCCCUUUUGUUUGGAAUACCUCUAGGAAACUGGUAGCUACACCGGAUGGGCGCUAUUGGGGAAGGAUAUAUCGGGCAAGGGUCGUCCCGCGUUGGAUUAGGUUGUUAGUGGGGUAAUGGCUGACCAAGCCGACGAUUCAUAGCUGGGUUGAGAGGAUGAUCAGCCACACUGGGAUUAGGACCCGGCCUAGACUCCUACGGGAGGCAGCAGUGGGGAAUCUUAGACAGUGGGGGAAACCCUGAUCUAGCCAUGCCGCGUAAGCGAUGAAGGCCUUAGGGUUGUAAAGCUCUUUCAGCUGGGAAGAUAAUGACGGUACCAGCAGAAGAAGCCCCGGCUAACUCCGUG